rnacentral:rRNA from 1 species
UUAAGCAUAUCAAUAAGCGGAGGAAAAGAAACUAACAAGGAUUCCCCUAGUAACUGCGAGUGAAGCGGGAAAAGCUCAAAUUUGAAAUCUGGCAGUCUCCUUUUCCUUCUUUGGCUGUCUGAGUUGUAAUCUAGAGAAGUGUUUACCUGCGCUGGACCGUGUACAAGUCUCCUGGAAUGGAGCGUCACAGAGGGUGAGAAUCCCGUCUUUGACACGGACUGCCAGUGUGUCGUGGUGCGCUCUCAAAGAGUCGAGUUGUUUGGGAAUGCAGCUCUAAAUGGGUGGUAAACUCCAUCUAAAGCUAAAUAUUGGCGAGAGACCGAUAGCGAACAAGUACCGUGAGGGAAAGAUGAAAAGGACUUUGGAAAGAGAGUUAAACAGUAUGUGAAAUUGUUGAAAGGGAAACACUUGAAGUCAGUCGUGUUGGGUAGGGAUCAACCCAGCUGCAUUGCUGGGUGCAUUUCCUAAUCUGACAGGCCAACAUCAGUUCCGACUGCUGGAAAAGAGCAGAGGGAAUGUGGCACCUUUGGGUGUGUUAUAGCCCUCUGUCAUGUGUGGCAGUCGAGAC